CCAGCUGCUCCAGCUCCUGCCCGGGGUAACCACGGCAACCGCGGGCCGCCAGGAAUGCGCGCUAAUUGAAGGCCGAGUUUCCUCCCACAGUGAUGAGCAACAAGUGAAGCAAAAAUAGGCAGUGAACGGCCGCGACCGACGUCAUUUACGGUUCAAAAAUCUUAAGGCAAAUUUUUCAGAAAACAACUAUUACGUCAACCCCCCAUCUCUUUGCUGGGCCCCUUUGCUCGAUUCAAGUAUGUAGAUGAAUGGAGAUGUAUGUGCACAUACAUAGAUCCCCAGGAACGAAAUGCCAGCUAGCAGCAGGGUUCCGCAGGUGGAGGAAGGGAUAGAAGAAAAAACAGGAGCGUGACAGGAAAACAAAAGCAAUUCUGUGGCCUUACAUUCGUGGGGAAGAAUCAAUCCCAAAUGAGCGCCUACUCACAAGGACCUGCUGGGAGCAUACCUAUUUCUGGCCUCCUGGAUUAGCAUUGCAUUUGGACCAUAAAGAAGCACAAAUGGAUGAAUU